GGGGUGCAAUUGGUUAACAAGAGGGCAUAUUCCUUAACAAAAGGGCACUAAUGAAAAUGAAAGGGCAUCUAAAAAUUAUUUUUGGCGACCUCCCCCCCCCCCCCGUCGCCAAAAAUUUUUUGGUCAGUGUACCAUUUUAGGGGUAAAAAAAAUUUUCCGGACAUACCACAAUUUUUCCUAAAUACGAAAAAAAUUUUCCGGACAUACCGAAAAUUUUUCCGGAAAAUGUUAUUUUUUCCGGAAAUUAAAACAUUUUUCCGGAAAUAACAUAGAUUGAAUUUUUCAAAAAUGCCCUUUGCGCAAAAAAUGCAAUUUUUAAUGAAAAUUUUUCUCGCAAAAAGGGCACUUUGUGCACCCGUUGCACCCGUAUUCUGCACCCGUAGUGCACCCGUAAAGUUGUGAAGACAAAAGGCAACGGGUGCAACUGCACCCGCUGCACCCGUGGUUCCGGCAUC